GCAGGGGCGGCGCCGGAGCAGGGCAACGACGCCGGAGAAGGAGGGCGCUCGCCCCGGGCCGCUGCCGCACGUGCCCCGCUAAGGACGUAGGAGAGCCCGCAGGCCAGACCCGGGGCGGGUCCAGGGAAGGGGUCGAGGUCAGAAUCCUCCUCGAAACUGUGAUGUAGGCAAAACUUGUCUAUUCAAACUGUAGCUGAGAAGGAAGACGACGACCAGGAGCAGGAGGCAGAGGAUGGCAAAGGAAGGAAAAGCUAACAAAAGGACUAUUAAAUAUAUUGAAGAAAAACUAAGAUAAAGUUGAACAUAUGCCAAGAACCAAAGUGAAGGAGUAUUUGCUGACCUAGGGGUAUG